rnacentral:rRNA from 1 species
UUAGAGUUUGAUCCUGGCUCAGGAUGAACGCUAGCGGCAGGCUUAACACAUGCAAGUCGAGGGGCAGCGGGGAGUAGCAAUACUCUGCCGGCGACCGGCGGAAGGGUGCGUAACGCGUGAGCAACAUGCCCGUGUCAGGGGGAUAACCGAUGGAAACGUCGCCUAAUACCCCAUAACAACAGAAGUUGCAUGACUUUUGUUUGAAAGAUUCGUUGGACACGGAUUGGCUCGCGUGACAUUAGCUAGUUGGCGGGGCAACGGCCCACCAAGGCGACGAUGUCUAGGGGAACUGAGAGGUCGAUCCCCCACACUGGUACUGAGACACGGACCAGACUCCUACGGGAGGCAGCAGUGAGGAAUAUUGGUCAAUGGAGGCAACUCUGAACCAGCCAUCUCGCGUGAAGGAAUACGGCCCUACGGGUCUUAAACUUCUUUUAUAGGGGGAUAAAUUGAGAUACGCGUAUCUUAUUGCAGGUACCCUAUGAAUAAGCAUCGGCUAACUCCGUGCCAGCAGCCGCGGUAAUACGGAGGAUGCGAGUGUUAUCCGGAUUUAUUGGGUUUAAAGGGUGCGCAGGCGGCACGUUAAGUCAGCGGUGAAAUGUCGGGGCUCAACCCGGGCACUGCCGUUGAAACUGGCGAGCUUGAGUACGGAUGAAGUUGGCGGAAUGUGAUGUGUAGCGGUGAAAUGCUUAGAUAUGUCACAGAACACCGAUUGCGAAGGCAGCUGACUAAUCCGCAACUGACGCUCAGGCACGAAAGCGUGGGGAUCGAACAGGAUUAGAUACCCUGGUAGUCCACGCAGUAAACGAUGAAGGCUAGCUAUUAGCGAUAGACAGUUAGUGGCUAAGGGAAACCGAUAAGCCUUCCACCUGGGGAGUACGCCGGCAACGGUGAAACUCAAAGGAAUUGACGGGGGCCCGCACAAGCGGAGGAACAUGUGGUUUAAUUCGAUGAUACGCGAGGAACCUUACCCGGGCUUGAAAGUUAGCGACGGACCUGGAAACAGGUCUUCCCGCAAGGGCGCGAAACUAGGUGCUGCAUGGUUGUCGUCAGCUCGUGCCGUGAGGUGUCGGCUCAAGUGCCAUAACGAGCGCAACCCUUGUCAUCAGUUGCCAUCAUUAAGUUGGGGACUCUGGUGAGACUGCCGCCGCAAGGUGAGAGGAAGGGGGGGAUGACGUCAAAUCAGCACGGCCCUUACGUCCGGGGCGACACACGUGUUACAAUGGAUGGUACAGAGGGCAGCGAAGGGGCGACCCGGAGCGAAUCUCAGAAAGCCAUUCCCAGUUCGGAUCGGAGUCUGCAACCCGACUCCGUGAAGCUGGAUUCGCUAGUAAUCGCGCAUCAGCCAUGGCGCGGUGAAUACGUUCCCGGGCCUUGCACACACCGCCCGUCAAG